UUAACAGUAAAAAGAAAAAAAAAAAAUUCAAUGAAAAUCCACUGGAAUUCCAAGUUUUUGAUAACAUGCCAGUAAAUGGUUCCUCAGUUCAGGACCGAAGCACAAUGUAAAAUAAUAUACUAAAUAGCAUUUUUUGAAUACUUUUUUCUUUCUCUACUCUUUUUCUAACCAAAUACCAAGUUAUAUGGCUUUAUACGUUCAUAUUUACUGACGUGCUUCUAAUCUGUCUGGAGAAACAGGGUGCGAUUCUCGAAUACUGUCCGGAUUCACUACCACCAAGGGCUACAAACAAUCUCUCCCGAAGGGUCUCUCGCUUUGUUACUUGCUCUAGAAAAACGGUGAACCUUCCGAAUAACUCCUCGACGGGACCCCCUGGUUCUGUAGACUGAAAAGUCAGCUGGAAUAAUUGCUUUGCACAAAAUUUAUUCAUGGGAUACAGACUGGGAAAAUGAGAAUUUGUUCUGUUAACUGAAACUUUUUUUUUUUUUUGUCUCAUUUGUAAGAUAUUGUUUUUUUAUAUAAAAAAAAAAAGAA